CACUUCCAAAAGCAGCAUUUCCCCAGGAAAUAAAGAAGAGGCAGCUUCAAAGAUCACCAACUGUAAGAAACAGGAAGAGACUUUGAAGUAGAUAACUUCUUGUGUUUUUUUCACAUAUUCCCUGGUGGAAUUUUAGUUUUGUAUCAUGCUUUUCCAAGUUUUUCUCCAGAUGUUGUAUAGUUUUUUGUUUUUGUUUUUUUUUUUUUUUUUCCCGGAAAAGUUUAGACAUCUUGUACACAGACAUCAAGAUCUAAAAACGGAGGCGCCAGCUCUAUUUUACAAAAAUAUCUGAUAGUAUCUUAUUGAAGAAUGUUGGAAUCAUUCAAGCGACUGCUUCUAUCCAGUUUCCACGCUGUCUGAAGAUCCUCCUUGAAAUCCCAUGUAACCUUUAGUAUAAUGCCCACGUUAAGAAAAGUGGGUCAGUGAUUAAAGACAUAUUGAAUCAUGUUUCUGGCUUUUUGUGUUUAUAAAUUAUGUAUAUAAUUAUAAAUAUAGUAUUUAUAUAAAAAUAUAAAUGUAUACAUGUUUAUAUUUAUUAUAAAUUAUUAUAAAUAAUCAGUAAAACAUCAGUGGAC
rnacentral:lncRNA from 10 species